AGAACGAACGCUGGCGGCAGGCCUCAAACAUGCAAGUCUAGGGGGGUGUAGCAAUACAUCACCGGCGGACGGGUGCGUAACACGUGGGAAUAUACCUUUUGGUUCGGAACAACGCAGGGAAACUUGCGCUAAUACCGAAUGUGCCCUUACGGGGAAAGAUUUAUCGCCAAAGGAUUAGCCCGCGUAGGAUUAGCUAGUUGGUGAGGUAAUGGCUCACCAAGGCUCCGAUCCUUAGCUGUUCUGAGAGGAAGAUCAGCCACACUGGGACUGAGACACGGCCCAGACUCCUACGGGAGGCAGCAGUUGGGAAUCUUGGACAUGGGGGAAACCCUGAUCCAGCCAUGCCGCGUGAGUGAUGGAAGGCCUUCGGGUUGUAAAACUCUUUCGGACGGGGACGAUAAUGACGGUACCGUAGAAGAGCUCCGGCUAACUUCGCGCCAGCAGCCGC
rnacentral:rRNA from 1 species